AGUAAAGUCAGCUAAACAAGCUAUUAGGCCCAUACCCUAAUCAUGAUGGUGAAACUCCCUCCUCUACUA
rnacentral:tRNA from 1 species